AUAUACAAAAAGGUUGUAAUAUUUACGAAAGGAAAAACAAUGGAAAUUAUUAAAUACAUAAUGAAUAUUCAAAUAAAAUGGAUACAUGGAUUUUUUCAUUGACGGUUAAGAACGUCUCGUCAGUUGAGUGCAGAACGCAGGCAAUAUUGGCGGGAGUGGACUUCAAAUGCAAUUAUGAAGCACUGUGCCGCUCCGGGACAAUCACACUUGUCUGCUCGAUAACCACAUCUAGUUAUCUACUGUACGUAAAUAAAUACUAGGCUAUUGCUAAAGCUAGGUACUUUGAAGCUAAUAUAUAGGUUAUAGCUUCCAUAUUAAUAAAUAAUGAGACCUUAAAAAAGUUUUAAUGGUAUCCGUCCAAAUCCUCCUUUUUAGUUUAAACUGCUUUUCCCUUCAUUUCCCUCUCUCUGGACACAUUAUGUGACCUGAACUUUUAUUUGGAGCCCAACUUUCCAGCUGGACAUGUGUAGAUGUUUUACUACCUUCUUUAGGAAGCAUUAAUAAAUAAAGAAGAAAAUGACACACGCAGUAGUCGCUGAUUCAGGCGAAAGCAAUUAAGUCAAGAUUUGUUGGAACAGAUUUCUUUCUUAUAGAAUUUUAAAUUAAUACUAUAAUAUUUAUA